rnacentral:rRNA from 1 species
CCUACGGGGGGCUGCAGUCGAGAAUCAUUCACAAUGGGGGAAACCCUGAUGGUGCGACGCCGCGUGGGGGAAUGAAGGUCUUCGGAUUGUACACCCCUGUCAUGUGGGAGCAAAUUAAAAAGAUAGUACCACAAGAGGAAGAGACGGCUAACUCUGUGCCAGCAGCCGCGGUAAUACAGAGGUCUCAAGCGUUGUUCGGAAUCACUGGGCGUAAAGCGUGCGGAGGCUGUUUCGUAGUUCGUGUGUGAAAGGCGCGGGCUCAACCCGCGGACGGCACAUGAUACUGCGAGACUAGAGUAAUGGAGGGGGAACCGGAAUUCUCGGUGUAGCAGUGAAAUGCGUAGAUAUCGAGAGGAACACUCGUGGCGAAGGCGGGUUCCUGGACAUUAACUGACGCUGAGGCACGAAGGCCAGGGGAGCGAAAGGGAUUAGAUACCCUUGUAGUC